GACGAACCGUGCGACCGUUGUUCGGAUUCACUGGGCUUAAAGGGCGCGUAGGCGGGUGGUCAAGUCAGGGGUGAAAGCCCACGGCCCAACCGUGGAAGUGCCUUUGAUACUGACUGUCUUGAGGGAGGUAGGGGCAUGCGGAACUUCCGGUGGAGCGGUGAAAUGCGUAGAUAUCGGAAGGAACGCCGGUGGCGAAAGCGGCGUGCUGGACCUCUUCUGACGCUGAGGCGCGAAAGCCAGGGGAGCAAACGGG
rnacentral:rRNA from 1 species